rnacentral:rRNA from 1 species
CCCUUAGAUGUUCUGGGCUGCACACGUGCUACACUGGCAGGUUCAGCGAGCUUCAUGUCCUGAUCUGAAAGGAAUGGGAAAUCUUUUCAAAACCUGCCGUGCUUGGGAUAGAUGUUUGCAAUUAUUCAUCUUCAACGAGGAUUGCCUUGUAAGCGCACGUCAUCAGCGUGCAUUGAAUACGACCCUGUAUUCUGUACACACCGCCCGUCGCUCCUACCGAUUGAAGUUUUCGGUGAGUUGACAGGAGGAUUUUUUUGAAACUGGUUCGCCAGUGGAUUUUAGAUCCAAAUGCCAACGAAUCGAUGGCUUUAGAGGAAGGAGAAGUCGUAACA